CGCCGAGUCCAGUGCAAUUGCAUGCCUCGAACCAUGUCAGGCCCGGAAGGGAGCAGCAUUAAGGGGAUUUUGUGAUGUGACACUGUAAACUCGGCACUU
rnacentral:SRP_RNA from 1 species